CGGGCGUCCGCGCUAAGGCCGGCAUCGAUAUGGAGUCCCCCGGGGAGCCGGGGGGCCCCAGGUCGCCUAAGGAGGGGUGAACCGGCCCAGGCCGGGAACGGAGCAGGCCAAAGCUCCCGUGCCGCUCAGUAGCGGGACGGCGCCUGUGAACAGUGCCCGGAGUUCAGCCUGGGUGACACAGUGGGACCCAGCCUCUU
rnacentral:SRP_RNA from 1 species